rnacentral:rRNA from 1 species
CUACGGAGGGGGCUAGCGUUGUUCGGAAUUACUGGGCGUAAAGCGCGUGUAGGCGGAUCGUUAAGUCAGGGGUGAAAGCCCGGGGCUCAACCCCGGAACUGCCCUUGAUACUGGCGAUCUAGAGUCCGGAAGAGGUGGGCGGAAUUCCCGGUGUAGAGGUGAAAUUCGUAGAUAUCGGGAGGAACACCGGUGGCGAAGGCGGCUCACUGGUCCGGCACUGACGCUGAGACGCGAAAGCGUGGGGAGCAAACAGGAUUAGAAACCCUAGUAGUCC